rnacentral:rRNA from 1 species
GAUGAACGCUGGCGGCGUGCCUAAUACAUGCAAGUCGAGCGAACAGACGAGGAGCUUGCUCCUCUGACGUUAGCGGCGGACGGGUGAGUAACACGUGGAUAACCUACCUAUAGGACUGGGAUAACUUCGGGAAACCGGAGCUAAUACCGGAUAAUAUAUUGAACCGCAUGGUUCAAUAGUGAAAGACGGUUUUGCUGUCACUUAUAGAUGGAUCCGCGCCGCAUUAGCUAGUUGGUAAGGUAACGGCUUACCAAGGCAACGAUGCGUAGCCGACCUGAGAGGGUGAUCGGCCACACUGGAACUGAGACACGUUCCAGACUCCUACGGGAGGCAGCAGUAGGGAAUCUUCCGCAAUGGGCGAAAGCCUGACGGAGCAACGCCGCGUGAGUGAUGAAGGUCUUCGGAUCGUAAAACUCUGUUAUUAGGGAAGAACAAAUGUGUAAGUAACUGUGCACGUCUUGACGGUACCUAAUCAGAAAGCCACGGCUAACUACGUG